UAUAUGUAUUUUUUUAUUGCGCACAAUCCAUUUAUAUUUCAAUGGUCCUUUUGUAUUUUAGCAGAUUAAAGAAACCAGAAAUGGUUCAUUGGAAAAUCAUUCUGAUGCAGCUGUUAAAUUUUGUUUUUAACAUCCAUUAGCCCCUUUUUUCUCUUCCCAGGUCACAGGUUAUUUUCAUUCAGAUAUUGCACAUGGCUAUUUUGGAGGAUUUACUAUGAUUCUUUCUCUUAACCCUUACUCGUCAGUGGGCUGCUUUUCUUUAUUCUUUCCUUUUUAAAAAGUAGAUUACAAAGCAUGUAUCCUUUCCAGAACUUAGAGCAAAAAGUCAAAAUAAAAUUUUUUUUAAGCCUCUGGUUGCUUUUUUUUUUUUUUUUAAAGGCUUUCCUUUUUUAUUUGGCUUUCUUACCUUAAUUGUUGUUCAGUUCACCGUAUUUAAUAAAAAGCCAAAGCAGGAACCAGUCAUGUGCCAGAAUGGGUAAAUUCACUGGUUUUCACCUCCUUGUAGUCUGGCUGCCUACACAGAGGCAGUGGCUAAAGUGGUAUGCUUGGGAAACCAGACGUUUCCUAACUUGUUAGUGGGAAAUUCAAACUUAGAAACCACAACAACAGACGCUUAUGUUUUACUGUGACUACUGAAGUCACACAGUUUGCCAUAGAAACAGGAUAGACAGCAGCCUAAAGAGUAUAAAAUGAAACAUUUUGAUCCUUAGAGGACUUUUUUGUUCCUCCAUUUUAGCUGUCAUAAAUCAGUAAACAAGGAAGAAGGAAAAUAGGGAAAUUUAAUACAUUGAAGAGUACUUAGAGGUUCAGGCAGUUAAAGGAUGAGGGUUAAUAUGUGGCUUGGCUUCCUGCUGAGCAAACAGAUCAUGAGCCACGAUGAGCAUCCUACUUCUACCUUUACCCACUCUUCCCAGUUCCUGAGGAUCAUUGGUUUACAUCUCUUCCAUGAUUUUUGGAAAGCUAGAGUUUGGGACGUAUGUAAUGUCUGAUUACAGACAAGGGGAAAAAUUGUAUUCUGUAAUCUGCUGGAACAUAGAUGACCAUUUUUCUUGUGGUCUGUGUUUUGCUUGUCCUCUUGCAUGCUUUAUACAAAUUAAAAUUAGUUUGGGUACCUGAGCCUUGUUUAAUUUCCCCUUGAAUGUAAGUCCAGAGCAUUUGGGUUAUGUUUUCCUUUUCAGCAAUUUCUGAAUACUGAGGAGGCAGAAUGCAUAAACAGAAUCUGAUAGUAUUUCCUUUCCUCUAAGUUGGGUUCUUUUAAGAUGACCAUGUUCUAGAGGAUAUUAAGCUUGCACAUUAAUGGGUAGUUCUAUCAAAAUAUGACAAUGGUCAACAGCGUAUCUACUAGAGAUGAGAGCAAUGACUUUAUACCCCCCUUCUCUUGGUGCUGAGUCUCCUGUUUACACUGACCCUGAGCAAGUUUCACCCAUUCAGUGUAUCUAUGUGAGAAAUGUUCUGUUUGUGGCAGUUAAAGAAAUGGCUAUAGUGUACCUCAUAUAUGUGCUAUUUGAAUACCAUCCAUUUUUGCUCUUACCUCAUUUUACCUUGUGAUUUGAAUUUUAAGAGAGGGCAAACUAUCUCAGGUUUUAGUAGCUGAAAAAAGAGUUUUUGAAAAAAGCUCUGGCUUCAUUAUUCAUCAAAGUUUACUCAUUCAUAGCUAAAAACAAAGAAAGCAGCACCCCGGGUAUUAAACAAUUGAAAAGCCACAUAUCUGAUGGACAGGAAAUCUUGGACCAAAAUCUGCUAGCGACCUAACUAUCUGAACUUGCCACAUCUGCUUGUCACCUUAGCUGCAACAUAGGGAGAGCAGUGCAGUUUUGUCUCUAGGUCUACAAAGCCUUUGGCAAUCUUCAAAUCUCAUUUCCGCAAAAUAAAAACUGCCAACAACCUUUAGAAUCCUUUCCUCCCUUCUUUGCUAUAUAACGCUGUAUGCAGAUUCACAUGUCAAGAGAUUUUAUCGCUGGUCAAGUCUCAAUGGUUCAAAAGAAUGGAAAACCCUAAGUAGUUGGAAUUCCAUGGGAUUCAGAUUUAUUUGCAUCUGUUGUAGUUCACAAGUUUUAAGUAUGCUGUAAAAGCAGAGAGUACUUAAAAUGUUAUACUAAAUUGAAAGGACAAUUAAAUGAACAUCUAGGCAAAAAGUAUUUAGACUGUUAAUUUCAAAAGCGGCUCUUUAUUGUUUAUGGCUAGGAUCUAAUAUAAGCCAUUUAGCCGAAGUUGUAGGAUUUGUCUUACAGAUUUGGUUUUUGUGGGUGCCUUGAGGCAUAGUAAAACAGGGAGAUUCCAAACUAGCUUUUAAGUAUUUUGCAAUCACUGGCUCUCUGGUCCUUUACCUGCUCAGGAAGAAGUUGUUUCUUACUUCAGAUGUCUUAAGACAUUUUCAGGAAAGCUCUUGUCUGUUUCUCACAGGAGGGACUACCUUCUACCAGGGGAAUCAAGGUACAGGGUAACCGCUCUACAGAGUGGCUAAGGUUAGGCACUCCAGAGACAGAUCUUCAACAAGCUUAAUCCUUUACUCCACUUGGUAGCUGGGUGUCUGAGAACAGGAAUUCUUCUUGACUGCAUCCUAUAAAGCACCUCCUCUUUGGCCUGAGACAGCCUCUGUAUGUCAUCCUGGCAGCACCAGAUGAUGAAAGAGCGUCAUCCCUACAGUAGACUGGCAUAACUAGAAGAGUAACAGUAUCUUCUAUGGGUCUGCCACUGUGCCAACUACCUCAUCAUAUUUAAGCUUCAGGUUAAGAAUUGAUGUUACUUAAGAUGGCUUCCUCUCUGCAGAAGUCCAGGUUGUUCUGAAGGCCAAAUAAUGGGCUUUUAAAUAUAAGGGUUUGAGUGUUCUGAUCCUGGCGCAAGCCUUAUUUCUCUUUUAACCUCAGGUUCUCCUUUCAUAGUAAACUUCUAAAAAAUAAGGCUAACAUCUUUUUUGGAACGCUUCAUUCAGUCAUCCCCAUUUACAUUUCAGUUCCCAUCUUUUCCAUGAAUGUUUCUUAAUUUGUCUAACCCUGGCUGAUUUUCCUUUGCUAAGCCCCCACAACUCGUACAGCUUUAUUAUCUAAAUAUUCUACAUUAUUUUGUACUACUUUCCAAUUUGCUUCAGCAUAUUACUUUUGCUGUUAAGCCAACUGUAAGCUCCUUAAAGGAAUGAUACUUCUGUAUCCCUUAUAUGGGUUUGAACUCUGUGCAUACUUGACCAAAUAAUUGAGAGGUAAAAAGAACCACUCCUAGGGGAGUAUAACUAUCCCUUAGGCUGAGUGGUACCUAAAAUUCUCAGAAUUACUUAUUAGAAUGGAAGAAGGACAAGUAGAGUUUUGUUCUCUUGUUCUUGUCACUUCUGGAAGGAACCAUUUGGUUGAAGUAAAGAAUUCACUUAGAGACAAAUUUAAUUAAAGUCCACAUGGGUGAGAUUGGCCAGAGAAUCAUUAACUUUGCCUGUGAUUCUUUGCAUCUUUGUUCAGCCUAGUGAAUUUUGUGAAACUCUAAGAAGAAUCCAAUGGGGCAGAAUUUGGGGGGAGAUUAGUGGAACCCCAAAUCACUUGACAAAGUUGUUCUUACUUUUAUUUGAAAGCCUCAAGAACAAUAUGCAACUUCAACCAGAAUCUAUUUCUUUUAAUAAUAUGAGUGUUUGAAAAGUAGAUAAUCUUCCUUUUAGCAGCAGUGGAUUCAUUUUCACAAAAUUCCACAGAGUGAUUCACCUCUUCUGCCUUUCCCAAUUAACAGACUAACAAGUUAAGACUAAGGGACUUCCACAAUAUCUCACUGUGUGGGUGUUUGUCUUCAGCAAGAAACUAGCAACUUUCUCAUGUUCUCCCUAGGCUCCUAGACCAAGCAACUCCUUUCUUUUUUUCAAAUUUAACAGGCAGACACUUAAGUCUUGCCAGCUCAAAUGUGAUGUUUUACAUUCCACUUAUGAUCUCUGCUCAGAGAUUUGUUUUUGUUUUGAUUCACAUAAAAAUGAACUUUUUUUAAAAAAAGAGAAAAACUCAUUUCACCUUUAAACUUUUGUUCCAAAACUGGUGGGCCAUGAGACGCAAUAAAUCUGGCAGAUUUGCUUUUGUCAGGGCAGCCCAUCUUGGAGGACUGACCUCAUCUUUGAGGCUGCUCUAGAUACAGUGAUUUGGAGCUCUCACAGGGCCAAGUGCUACAGCCAUGUUCCUCUUUUCCGCAUUUACAUGUGCACCCUUUUCCUCACAUAACCCCUCAUUUUCUUCAGCUGAUUUGUCUCUAGCGAUAGAAUCAGUACCUUGUAUUUUUAUAUUGUCUCUUCUCUCCUUGAUCAGAGUUCCCAUGAGGGUUAUUGUUCACUAUUCAAUCUUUAUCGAGUAGUGAGAAAUACUUGGGAUGGCUGACAUUGUUCCCUUUUUUGUAGUUUGUAGAAACCAAGGGAGUUGGAGGCUCACCCAGUAAAUGGAUGGCAGAGCUAUGAAGAGUAGAACUUUGAUUUAUUAACUGAAAGUGUUCUUACUCUUAGUCACACCAUUGAGACACCAACAUUUAUCCAGGUCAAUUCAGUGUCACUAUUCAGCAAGACUGGCCAUUGACUAUAUUCUGUUGUAGUUUUUAAAAGCACUUUCCCACAUUCUUUAUCUUUACUUAGUUUUUAUGUGUAGCUGGUCUCUCCUACCUGCAUUGUAUUACCAGUCCAUUAAAAAGAGCAGGGACAGGAGAAUAAUUGAAGCUGUUGUCCAAGAGCUGCUAGUGAUCUCUGACCUCGUCGUUAAUGUAGUAGCAGUCCAUGCUAGUGGCUAUAGCUGGGUUCGUGACAUGGCAUGGUGUGUUGUGAACUGGGUUGCUGGGCCUGUUGUCAGGUCUUGUGCUUAGCUCAAUGCAUGUUUGCUGCUGCCGAGGAGAAUUAUAAACCCUAGGCUAGCUUCACAGGAGUAAUCUAACUUUGAAAUUAAAAUCACUCUUCCGUAAAAUCUGGGAGAUACACUGGGUUACCCAGAGAAACUCUGGAAUUAGGUAUAUGCUUAGGAAAAGGCAGUCUGCUGCAUGGCCAAGAUAAGCUGUUUGUGGCCCAGAGGUGCAUCUUCCAGGCCUUCACUGGAGACACAGAAAUUAGAGAAAUUCAGAGGAAUCCACCCUUCAUUAAGGACAAAACCACUGUACUGUGUUCUUCCAUAUAUUGCUUGGAGGCCAUUCCAUGCCCCAGGGUGACUUACCUGGUACUCCUUCACCACCAUCAGUGUCAUCUUACUGGGGAGGGAGUUAAACUGACGUAGAUGGAGGUGGGCAGAAAAGCCUCUGAAUUAGUCUGCCUAUGUAACAUACACUGUACUGUACAAAGCAGAUUUCACUGCCUUGACUUAACCUGAGCCUAAGCUGGUUUCUGGUUUUUACGUUUGUAAGUCACUUCCAUGUGGUUGCUUUAAGUAGUGGCUGAGAUUUGUUUUUGGCUCCUAAACAAAAUCUAGAUGAAGGGGCCCUCCAUAGCCCACUGUUUGCAGAAACAAACACUUUUUUUCAUAUCAAAUAAACUUCUAGGUUAUAGUUUGUACAUUUAUCCAGCACCUUUUUUUGUCCCACCAACAUACCUACUAAUUGUAGCUAGGUACUUCCCUAGGCACUGGGGAUACAGCUGGUUGCAAAACUGACCCCAAAGGAGUCUAUAGGCCACGAGACAGAUAAUAAGCAAGCAAAUCAUUAAUGUGUAAUUUAAUGUCACAUCACAGUAUACAGUUUGAAGGAAAAUAAAGCACGGUAAGUACCACCAGGAGCUUACAGCCUUCAUCGGUGACGACUUCUGCAGUUUGGGGGUAGGUUGUUUUGAAGGCAUUGAGUCACUUUGAAUUUUGAAAGGGAUCCUGCGAGCUGGGGACAUCUGAGAGGUGCAAAGUACUUAGCUGAAAGAUACUGAUAGAAGGCCAUUUGUCAAGUUAGUGGUUCAGACGUAAAUGUCUUUGGCCACAGAGUACAUAGUCUUUCUAGGGCAUCUCUCACCUUCCAAGUAGACAGUGGGAUUUGCCACGUGGAAGACCUUUAAAUAUACUUAUUUGUUUUCUCUUUCCUCCCUUAUUCACCUCCCUCUGUUGUUGUAUCCUGAUUAAAUUGUAUUGAUUUUCACAAUACCUCCUUAUCCUUUGCUUUCUUAUUGAUUAUACUUGAAAACUUUGAAACUUUCUACUUUCGUUUUUUUAAUGGAUGUUAUAUCUAAAUUACCACCUACAGUACUGAGGCUUUUUCUGGGGCUUCUGUUCUCCCCUCUUUCUAGCACUAAUUGAGGAUAAACUACUGGUGAGCUGUAGCCCAAGAAUGCAGGGGGCCCUGGCUCUCCCUCUGUUACCUGUGUCUCUGGGGCAAGUCACACUGUGGAUAUCAGUUUCUUUCGUAAAGUGAGGCAUUUGGAUCAGAUGACCCCCAAGACCCCUUCCAGCUGUAAAAUUCUGUGGAUAGUCUGUGCCAGGACUCUGUGUAUGUGUGUGGGGGGUGUGUGUGUGGGUGUGUGUGUGUGUGUGUGUGUGUGACUCAAGGUACUUCUCAGAUUCAUAGUUGAAUGUUUGCUGUUCUGAUGUAAUAUAUGCUCUCUUUUGCUGAAUAACUUCUUUAGGCUCGAGUAAGUAGUUAUCAUAAACAGACACAAGGAGUUGAGGUAUGUCUGCAUCCUAUCUGUCCCAAUGAUACACUUACUUCUCUACAUACCUCUCUACUGCUCCCCUCCCCGCCUGACCCCACAAACACAUCAUUCCCCAAGCUUAUU